rnacentral:lncRNA from 1 species
GUGAAUGCGACAGAGGACCCUGCGACGUGUCGUCGUAACGUUUGUCGCUGCAUUUUGUCGGACGCGUUCACGCUGGAAGCAUCAUCUCUCCGCCGCCACCGAUUUCGGAUUCGUCGAGCACGGGUUCGCGAAUUCGCAGAAUUAAACGUACAAAACUUUACGCGGCGGCCCUGUACCGCGCUACGAUGAUAUCGUAUUUUCCGGGCCAAACAUUGUACUAUCGAAGAGGUGAUUUAUGUAUGGUUUUUCGAUGACAUGGUUGAUUUCGUUUUCGUGAUGAAUCGCGUUGCUGCACCCGAAAUGUGUAUACGUAAAACCGGAGGGAUUAUGAAAAAAAAAAAAAAAAAAAAAAAAACCGCGAGCGCAUUGUACACAAACGUAGGACGAUGCGAGCCGUCGGCGACCGACGUGAUGUGCGUUAGUCGUGCACAACAAACGGAAAUCGUACAGGACACGUUUUCGCGGAACCGUCGACGAAGUCACCGCACCGCAGCCGGUUAAACGUUUCGAACGAGCACGUCCGAGAUAUUUGCACGCGCGCCGAAACUCCACGCGUACUUGUAAGACUCAUUGUCGACGGGUUUGGCACACGUGAAAUGUGCGUAGGAUAGAAAAUCCAUCCAAGGUCUUACUCGUUGAGGAAGGUUAUGAAUAUAUAAUUUAUUUGUGCGCGUGCACACGAGAUUUUAUUUCUCAACGGAACGGCGUGCGGCCCAAGUCACCGACGCGAAAACGAUACCAACUGUGAAUGCUCAACGCACGGGAUGGUCAAGAGCGGAAGAAAUAUUCCGCGCGCCAAGACCGAACCGAGAUGUUUUGCCCGGGCUAAGGGUACCAUCGUUUUUGUCACGAUCGCGUUCUUACGCGAUGUGGACCAGACCCGGGACUGCCGCGAUGCUGUCGGUGUUCCCUUGUCAGCAUUCGCGCCAGCACUCGCAAACGAGGCGCGUUUGCAUAUCAUUAUUGCUCCAGUGUUGAGGCACUGCCGGUGGUGUUGGCGGUUGGUGCUGCCGGAUUACGCGGUGUUGUGCGGCGCGCGCGUGCUCACUCGUACGGCAAGGCGAUCGGCGUUCCGUGACGCGGGGGACGGACAAGUGUGUAAUAAAAAUAAUAAAAACUCAAACGGAACGACGAUGGUAAAAAUAAGUAGGCGAUUGUCCGACGAUUACCGUCGCUAUUACGGGGGGACAACACCGUUAACAGCUAAUAAAAGUCGGCGCGUCGUCGGAAUCCGUUUUUUAUGCGCGCGCGAGCGGGACGAGUUUUUUUUACUUUUUUUUUUUUUUUUUCACCUACGAUUUACCGUCGCGUCCGACCGGACGACGGGAGUCGCGCGACUCCGACCGCAGCGGCAGCAGCACCACCGUUACUGCGGGCGCAACACAAACGUCAUCUGUCGGACACGGGCCGUACGACGUUUUUAUAACUCUUAUUAUAUCUCAUUUCACCUCCCACCGACCACCAACCCCCCCCCGACCGGGAUGUCGGCCAUUAUUAUCAUGUCGUGCGCGCACGCACGCACACACUUAUGCUCGUUCCGCGUACGCACGUUAUUAUACGUAUCGUCAUGUAGGGGGUGGUUGGAAACGCGUUACGACCCUCCGGGUAAAUGGCCUGAAAAUUGGGUCAGCCGUUGACCUUGGCAUACACGUACACAGCUGAUCGCGCACCCAUGAUGGCACCGAUCAUGUUUUAUUAUUAUUACCGUUAUGUAACAUUGCAAUGAAAUUGGAGCCGACGGGAGCCGCGGAAAAAUACGCGCAAUUAUGUUCACAUUAUUUUAUUAUCGUUGCGUUACGUUGAAAAAGUGUUGUCUUCUACGCGUGUGGUGGUUUAUGAUCGAUUUAUGGCAAUAUAAUCAAGACCCAUCUGGUCUUAAGGUAAUACGUGUACGAGUUUAUGGAUUGAUCAACGAUAGAUAACUCCUCCGGGACUAUGUCCAUGUUCAAGGCGUUCAUUACUUCAACACAAUUAAAUCGACGUUUUCAAUAAACGCAUUCGUUACGCACAGCUGCACCGUUCGUUGUAAAAAAUUGUUUUGAUCUCGGCUUGGCCCGAUAAAGUUUGUUUUGCUCGUUGGCUCAUUAGUGCAUUACGCGUGUUCCGAACGGGGAUGAUAAACGGCACCGCGAUCUCAUCCCAAAAACAGUGUGUAGGUAUCAUUAUACGCAACACACUACGCGCCGACUUAUUUCGACUUAAAUACGAACUUGAACAAUGGCGGUGGAAAAUUCUUAAUUAAAAAGGUACAUAACAAUGCUUUUAAUUAUAGUUUUAAUCGGAAUAUCACGAAAAUACCGGAGGCCUUGUACGUAAUAUGUAUUCGUGUCAAACUCCCAUUAAUAAAUUUGUGUACACAUUAUACACAUACAUAAUAUUCUGCGUAUAUAUAUAUAUAUAUAUACAUGUAAAUACAUUACACAAAUAUGUCUAGUUUAAUUUUAAAUAGGUCUCAAUACGAUCUCUUCGCGUCAUAUAAUUAUAAUUUAUAAAAAAGUGAAUAAUAAUAACAAUAAUAAUACGCACGAUACAUUUUUAAACGUAUAUAAUUAUCUGACUAUAGGUAUACCCUAACGCUGUAAAUUAUUUUCUAUGUGAAAAAUAGGUAAACUCGGAAAACAGCAGUUCAAAAAACUUUAAAUAAUUUUCAGUAGCUUUAAACAAGGAAUUCAAAGCUGUUUGCAUAAGGAAAAUUAAAACUUAUUAAUGUGUAUUAUACAUAUAUAUACGUGUGUGUGCGCGUGUGUGUAGGUGCAUAAUAAAUAAUCUUGUUUAUUUAUUUUGAGAUUUAUUGACUAGGCUAGUAUCUACGACUAAUUAUAAUAGUGCAGUUACAUAAUGUAUGUGAGGUCGAAUCAAUCGUACUGCGUUUUUUGCGUGCAAUAUGUUUAGUGAUUUUAUUUAUUUAUUUUUCGAACGGUAUUAUAAAGAUCAUAGUUGAACGUAUAAAUCUUCAAUAGUCGUAACCUAUUCAGACGCAAUUAGUGUUAUAUAUAUAUAUGGUGGAAAAAACGGAAUAGUUUCGUAUACACAUUAAAUGACGACAUGGGAUAUAAAAAGAGAUAUUUAUAAUGUUUACCUGUUCGGUGGCAGUAAACGAAUUGUGUAGGUUAACACUUUCAGAUUUAUAAGAUGUAUAAAAAAAAACAUGUCCUUUGCAGUUAAAUAUUGGAUUAAAAAAAAAAAAAAAAAAACAGUU